rnacentral:lncRNA from 1 species
UUUUUUUCACUUUCUUUCUUUCCUUUUCUUCCUUUCUCUUUCUUUUCCUUUCAUUAUAACUCAUUCUGCAUUUCUGACUGCUCAAGCUUCAAAAUGUAUUUUGUAUCUCUCCAGUUCCCUCUAGCUCGUCUGCCACCACUCUAGUCCAAGCCAGUUUGGAAAAAGUGGCUGGAAUAUAAUAGGUCCUUCAUAAAAUAUUUGUUGAAUGAAUAAAUGUUAUGGUAUUUGGACUUGCCCCUACCCCUCUUUUUUCUUAUCUAUACUUCACACUUCUGAAAAGACAAAUCAGAUAAUGUUACUUCUCUGCUACAAAUAUUUAAUGGCUUCCACCUCUUGGAAAUCUAUUUUGCUCAUUACUGUGACCUACAAACUCUGCACACUCUAGUUCUUGCUCACCUCUCCAUUAUCUUGUUCCAUGCCUUAGAAUUCUUGCUUUCUACUCUACAAAUACACAGGUUUCUUUUCUUCCUUAAGCAUAUCUAUCUCUUAUUGCUACAAUGUUUUUGGAUGUUCAGCUUCCUCUGCCUGAAAUACAUAUAUUUUUCUAUUUUUGAAUGGUUGGUUUAGUCUUAUUUUUGAAAUCAUUGUCCCAAUGUCAUUUCUCCAGAAAGACCGUCCUUAACCUCCUCAAAAGUUUUUUCUCCAGUUACUUUACAUUACAUUACAUUUCUUAACUUACAACUCUAGAGGUCACAAAUCUGAACUAUCUUGAUUUGUUCUGGCUUGUACAAGAAGAAAAUCAAGGCAUUUGUUCUCUGGGCUCUUAUUGAGAGAGAGAGACUCUGGGAAGAAUCCAUUUUGCAACUCAAAUUGUUGGCAGAAUCCAUUUCUUUGCAGUUUGUUUGUUUUAGAUGGAGUCUCACUCUGUCACCCAGGCUGGAGUGCAAUGGUGCGAUCUUGGCUUACUGCAACCUCUGCCUUACAGGUUCAAGCAAUUCUCCUGCCUCAGCCUCCCUGAGUAGCUGGCAUUACAGGCACCCACCACCAGGCCCGGCUAAUUUUUGUAUUUUUAGUAGAGACAGGGUUUCCCCAUGUUGGCCAGGCUGGUCUCAAACUCCUGACCUCAAGUGAUCCACCUGCCUUGGCCUCCCAAAGUGCUGGGAUUACAGGCGUGAGCCACUGUGCCUGGCAGACAGUUCUUCCUUUCCUUGUUAUCUGUCAACCAAGGGAUGCUCUCUGAUUAAUGACCUAAAUCACAGGGUUUGAUUGAAUAACCAGUAGACUGGAAUCUUUGGGGGACAUAUUUAAAAUUCUACCUCUCACAGGGAAGGUGAUAAAACUUCUUAGAAGUAUAUGCAUUUAAGCAACUGUUUUUCUUCAAAGUUUUAUGAUAGGAAAAAUAAAGGAACUGUUGAACAAAGUAGGACCAAUAGAAAUGUAGAAAUGUCAUUUGGUUUGUUAAGAGACACACUAGAAGAUAAUAUUAUCUUAAAGUUAGAGAAAGAGUGGUGAAUCUUGUCAAAAUGCUACAGAGAAGAAACUAUGGCAUUUGAAAAUUAAGAUGUCAAUCAUGACUUCUGAAAAAGCAAUUUCAAAAGGGUGGUAUGGCCUGAUUUUAGUAGUUUAGGGAUGAUUUGCAUGUUAUGAAAUUGAGCAGGAAUGUUUACAGUACUAUUUUCAGCGCACUGAUAAGAAAAUAAAAGAAAAAUGGUGAAGUGGCAAUGCUCUUUGGUGGGGAUAAUUGUUGGAACAAUAUAUUUUUCUUCAAACCAGAAGCUUGCUCCUCUGAAGAUGCAGUUCAUAAAAUAAAACUGGGCCUAGAGGUCUUGCUAUAUUAUUUCUUUAGUGAUUCAGAAAUAUCUAGAGCCACAUUUAGAAAUGUAUUAUGUAAACUAUAUCAAUACACAAACUUUGGAGGACAGCUUUUAUAAAACAAAUGAGAGCUCUGUAUUAAUAUGCAAAGAUAUUAAAACAAAAAUUCUUAGUGUAUACUAAAAGCCACACACAAUAGAAAAGGAAAGCAACAGUGAUCUUGGGAUUAAAACCAACUUGAUUUAAACUCUUAUCAAAGUGAGAUUUCAAGUCUUUAUAAAGUUCUCAUGAUGUUAUUUCCUACCAGUCAUUUUCCCGUGAAGCUAAGUCCCACACAAUUUUUCUACAUUUUUGAACUUUUUUUUUCAGAUGGGCAACUGAUGGUCAGACUCCAGUGGUUCUUCAAAACUUUCUAGGAGGUAAACAAGAUGAAAGGGAAAGCACACAAAUUUGCUGGAAUUUGGAAAACACGAACCCUGGAAUUUGGAGGAGUCACUUCCACUGGAAAAUACUUUUAUAUUAUUUAUAGUGGCUACCAUUACCGUGCUCACUUUACAGGUGAGGUUCAGAGAUUUAUGUAACAUGCCAAAGGUCACACAGCUGGACACAGCAGAACCAAGAUUCAAAUCUGCACAGGUAAGCUCCACAGCCUUCUGUCUUAUCUAGGACUUUCCUAACCACCUUGAAUAUUUCAUUUUAAAAUUGAUACCUUAUUGGCUUAUAAUCUCUGCCAACAUUUUGCUAAAACCCUUUCCUACACUAUACAACCAUUCCAUUUGUUUAGAAAUUCAUCAGAGGAGAAAUAUUAAGUGGCUUUCUUUGUGACACCAUCAGAAAUACAGCUUCCCAAAUCUUUCAACUGAAGAAGUAACCAAAAAGAUAUCUGAAGGACAGAGAGAUGGAGAAAAGGAGAGGAGAUAGAAAAAGGAAGAGAGAGAGAAAGCUCAAAAUAAAUUAGUAUAUAUGCUAGCAAGAUUCCUCCCAGUAGUUGUCUUUUUCCAAUUAGAAGUGACUUGCACAGUUGCAGUACCACCUCUGUUAACCCCGGCUCACUGCCCUUCCAAACCAUGUCUUCUGUUACUCUCAAUCUAUGUCGAAUAGUCCCUCAGCUCUCAUAACGGGACCAAAUUCAUGGCUGCUUCCUGAUACAGCUGUGUCCUGUUACAAGGCUUGAAGUUACAUAAUGUAAGUUUACUCCAUUGUAAGUUUUACCAAUGCAUUUAACUUAACAAGGUUCUAAAACUGUCAUAAAGUUAUUUACAACAGUUACUGAAAAAGAUCAUCUCUGAAAACAAGGAAAAGCUGUUCUUUCUCCCACACCCACACACAACCUGAGGUUCACCAAUGAAUGCAUGCUCAGCUUCUGUCCUCCCAAGCAUUUCAUAAGAUAGGGUUUUUGGAUUUUUCACCUUUAUGCACGUGCAAUUAGCUUAAAAAUGUCCACAAAACUGUGUAACUUUUAAGCCUUUUUUUUCUCCUUUACUGAACUAUGUAUUGAAAUGUGGAAUAUGGAAGGUUACAGGGUUCAGAAUCAACAAACCUAGAGAUAAGAAUAGCUAUCAACACCAGACAAGAUAGAGGACUAUGACAGAAUUAGAAAAAGGGGAAUGAUAAUAUGUGUGUGUGUGUGCGUGUGUGUGUGUUUUGCAGUUGAAUAUUGCAUUACUAUCCCAGGGCUACUGCAACAAAUUACUACAAACUGGGUGGCUUAAAACAACAGAAAAAUUAUUCUCUCAAAGUUCUGGGGACCAGAAGUCCGAAAUCAAGGAACUGGCAGGGCGGUACUCCUCCUGAAGGCUCAAAAGGACAAUCCUUUCCUGCCUCUGCCAGCUGCUAGUGGCUCCGGGAGUCCCUGGUUUGUGGCUGCAUUACUCUGGUCUCUGCCUUGUCUUCUCGUGGCCUUCUUCCCAGUGUCUUCCCAUUUCUGUUUCCUAUUAGGACCCUAUCAUUGGAUUUAGGGCCCUCACACUAAUCUACAGUGAUCUCAUCUCAAGAUCCUUACCUAUAUUAUAUCUGUAAAGACUCUUAUGUCAAAUAAGGUCCCCUUCUGAGAUUCUGGGUGUUAAGACUUGGACAUAUAUCUUUGAGACCCAAUUCAAUUCACUGCAAAUGUGUUCUUGUUUAUAAGUUACAUUUUUCUCUGAAUAGUACCAUUCCUUAUGGUUAUGGAGUUAAAACACCCUUUCUUUUAUGAAAGGAUAGUAAUUUUGUUUGUAUAUUGUAUUAGCCUGUUCUGACAUUGCUAUAAACAUUGCUAUAAAAAAACUACCAAGACUGGGUAACUUAAAAGAAAAAGGGUUUAAUUGGCUUAUGGUUGUGAAAGCUAUACAGGAAGCAUGGCUCCGGGAGGCCUCAGGAAACUUACAGUCAUGGCAGAAGGGGAGGGUGGAGCCAGCAUGUCCUACGUGGCUGGAGCAAGAGGAAGAGAGAGCAAAGGAGGAUGUUUGAACAACCAGAUCUUGUGAGAAUUUAAUCACUAGAAUGCACUAGGCGGAUGGUGAAAAACCAUUAGAAACCAGCCCCACAAUCCAAUCACCUCCCACCAGGCCCACCUCCAACAUUGGGAAUUACAAUUUAACAUGAGAUUUGGGUGGGGGCAGAGCUGUAUUAUAUAUGUAUAUAAUAUGUAUUGUUAUAUAAUACAUAUUGUUAUAUAAAUAUAUAAUAAUGAUUUAAUGUUCAUAUCAUCCAUAUUAUAUAUGUAUGUGUAUAUGUGUGCAUGAUUACCAUAUUAUAUAUGUAUAUGUGUGUGUAUGAUUAUAUGAUUAUAUAUGUAUGUGUUAUAUAUGUAUUAUAUAUGUAUGCGUAUAUGACUAUAUGUGUAUCAUAGUACUUUUUUGACAAAAUUAAAAAUCGACAAUUCAAUAUCAGUUGUCACAUUAAAACAAAAAUGCUCCAGGAAAUCCCAGUCCAGAUGUGAUUACAAACCAACCCCACCUUUCUGAGCCUAUUUCGUUAUCUUCAAAUGAGAUAAUGUCUGAUUUUUAUAUAUUUGACUUUCAAAUAAUUUGCGCUUUGUACAUAAUACAUGGGGACCUCUGAACACGUUUUCUGAAACACAUAUCUGACUUUCUUACACCAGAAGACCAAUAAAUAUUUGAAGCUAUUCUCCAGUGACACUGCCUGCGAUUCAGGUCUUCAAUUGGGGCAUUUCACCAUCUUUUUUUUACAGUAGGUGCUGUGGACUGAAUGUUUGUGUCCCCUGAAAAAUUCAUACGUUAAAUCCCUAAUCUGCAAGAUGAUGGUAUUUGGAGGUGGGGCCUUUGGGAGGUGAUUAAUCAUGAGAGUGGAGCUUUCAAGACAGAAUGUGUGCCCUUAUAAGAUGAGAUACAAAAAAUCUUACCUUUCUUUCUUCUUGUGAGGACAUCUUGAAAAGACUAUCAUCUGUAAACCAGGAAGAGGGCCCUUUUCAGACACUGAAUCUUCUGGCACCUUGCUUUUGGACAUUCCAGCCUCCAGAACUGUGAGAAAUAAAUGUCUGUGGUUUAAGCCACCUGGUCUAUGGUAUUUGUUAUGGCAACCCAAGCUGACUAAGACAGUAGGGUUUGUAAAAUUAUGUGAAUUUUUUGUUUGGCAUUUAACGAUAUGUUUUGAAAUAAGAAAAUGAUAACAUGAAAAUAAGACUCAGUCUCAAACCUAAUGGAACUAGACACAAGGAAGAGAAGUAGGUAGGCUGAAAGGGUGACAUUUAGUCUCAAUUGGACACACAAAGUGUGCAGAUGUGAGUCUAAUUUGAAGUAAAAUGACAGAAUUAAUAACUAUAUAUAAGUGGUGGAUAAAUAGCUUCAAUGAUUACAUCAACAAAGUGCAUCAUGUUGCAGGUCCAUCGUAUAUGUGCAUCUUGAAUAAAUUUAUUUCCUUCGUAUAACUGUCAUUUCCAUUGUCUGACAUAUUUAGGGAUUUUAACGUGGUAUGAAAAUAGGGCACUUUCUGUGGUUAUAGUCAUAAUCAUAGCAAUGGAUUAGUAGUAGCAGAAGUUCCAGUAUUAGUAGAAAUAGUGAAAAACAGUACAACAGCAGUAAAGUAAAAUAACGCUAUUGUAUUACAUUAAAUGUGAUAAUGCACACAACGUUCUAUAACCUAUUAAGCUUGAGACAAAUGUUAAUUAUUUUCUGCAUUGUUGUAUGGUCUCCAUUUUGCAAUAAAUGCUCAAUUAUGCAUUGAUUAAUUAGGGAUGUCUUAUUGACCUGCUUGGUAACUUAGUUCUUACUCGUACUUUACUAAUCAGAAAAUUAAGCUCUUCAAUCCAAGGUCAGGCCUCAGGAAGGGGUGGAUGAGAGCCAAAUUUAACCUGCCGCUGGUUAAUGAUUUUAUGUUUGAAUAUAAAACCUGCAGGCUUGACAUGCAGUCACCUUCCUUUUGCCUUGUAGCUGAGUGUUCUACAUGUUUAUGUCGUAUGGCCCCUGAAAGAAUUCGUAUUUGAAGCUCUGGGAGGAACCUACCUUCUGUGGUUCAAUGACACGGCUAAUGUGGGCUGUAUUAUUCUUCUCACAGACUCCUAUCUCCCAUGAUAUUACUCAUUUUUCUGUUUGACUUUUACAUUGAUUUUCCACUGAUACUUUUCUGAUUAAUGAGACCCCUGUUAUGAAUUAUGAAGCAUUGUGAGAAUGCUUUCACUUAUCUGUGAAUUAUAUCUGUGGCUUAAUUUUUAUCUCGUCUAGAGCAAUCAGGGACUCUGGCUUCUCAAGAGACUCUCAGCAUGGAAGCCUUCCUGAAAGCCCUGUGUGGAGGUGGUAAGCCUCCCUGAAAUAGACUUCUUAGAGAAGGAAGCAGAACAGAAUGUUCACAUAAAAGUGCUAGGUUGGAUAAUAAUCAUAUUUAGCACUUACAUAGCAGUUUUCAUUUCCCAAACACUUUAUAAACAGC